AACCACCACCUGAGUCGGCGACAUUUUGGCGUAUACGUCUACUCGGUGAUGUGUGGGAUAAAAUGCAAGGUUUGGAGUGGGUCUAUCGCGAGAGCCAAGAUCGAACGCUCGGCGACAUGAAUAAAAAGAUCAUCUCGCAACUUUCGCCGUAUCUUCCUUCAGGUACACGCGUCACGGCAAUGUCAACGAAUGCAGAAAGUGUGAUCGAAGAAGGAUGUGCCGGUGUGCAAAUAACAGCGGUGCAGAGAGACUUAGAGUCGAUUAAUCAAGCCGCCAUUGGUGGCGGCGUUGGCGGCACUGGUUUCACACGGUGUGGGCGGUUCAUGUUUGACACUCCAGUUUUGUUCACCGAAGACGGUGAGGUCAGUCAAGGGCAAGGUGCAGUCGUCGCAUCCCUUCGUUAUCAAGGACGACGCCGUACGAUUAUCACGGUCGAUGGGCAGUUCCCAAGUCUUCUCCCCCGUGCGCCCAUUAUUGACACCACUGUCGAAGAAAUGAACCCGUGUCAGAGCGCGAUUCAAAUGCUCGAGGAGCAAACCAUCGCGUUAUUAGCAGCGGCGCACGCUCGUAGACCUCACGCUGAGCUCUUACAAAGGUUACUACAAGGAUCUCUUGCGGCUGGCGUGAACGGCGGCGUACCGUCGUUGAUACAUUCAUUUUUUCGAACCGAAUUGCCGAGCGCGGUAGCGUAUCAUGGUGAAGCGAUGCGUGAGGCUGAAUUUUUGACGCCUGCGCGCGCUGUCGAAGUUUCGCCAGAAACACCGACUCCAUCAUCGCGCCAUUCGACGCCGAGGUUACCGAUGAUUCACCACAAGCGAGGCUUGAGUGAAAAUGCCGUCCCCAUGGGUGCCGGCAUUCCGCUCGACACGCCGACGAGCGCAUCGUAUCCGACGCCAUCACCGAGCGCAAAAGCACCACCACCGUCUCCAGCCUCGGUCGCAAAAUCAGUGCUAAUAACGCCCAUCUCUACAACAACGCUAUCACCGAGCACGCCGGCGCCACCACUAUCGAGAUCAGAUAGCCUGGGGUUAGUGCAAGCGCUUUGGAAACUUUACCGAGCGUGCGUGAAAGUUUUUGAGACACACCAAAAGCUGGAGCAAGCGGAACAUUUGGAGCGGUUGUUCGAGAGCGCGAUUCAAGAUUUGCGCGUAAGCAUCGAAUCAGUGGAAAAUGACUUGGAGUUCGAAGAAGCUACGGACGAGAUCGCGUCGCCGUAGUGUAUACUCUGUUCAGUGUAAAAAAAUAGAAUGUCUUUCAUUACCAGUAAUCGUUUCUUCAUUCAUGUUCCAUCAAGCGUUUCAACCAAAGACGAACUCCCAGUUUUCUUCCUUGUCCGAAUCGGAUGCGUCGUUCACCGUCGUUGUCGUGUCGUCAAGCGAAGCAAAGACGUCGGCCACGCUUGGACAAUCUCGAGCCCGAUGGCCGUGCUGCUGACAAAUUUUGCAUGUGUCCUCGUCGAACGAACAAUCGCGAGCGAAGUGCCCAAGCUCACCGCAUCUACGACAUUUGUCCGUCGGUUUCGGCCCUGGUCGCAGCUCUUCGGGUCGAUUGUCGGGAUAUAAGCAGUCCUUUGCCCAAUGGCCUUUGACACCGCACCUAUUGCAAACAUCUUCUGAACGCGACGUAGCUUUGCGUUCACGCGGACUCGAGUUCGGCGACGAUUCGUUAGACAGCUUAAAGUCUUCGAAUGCCACCUUCCGGCGAACUUCGUCGUCCGAAUUCAUCAGUCUGAAUUUUUUGGUGUGCGCGUCAGCGAUAAUCUUUGUUUGUUUCAUCGUUGACGCGGGCGUCGUCGACGUGGGCGACUUCGCGGGAGAAACACCUGAUUUGUCCGGAGUUCGCGGACUCGCGCCGCCGCGAUUGACAACGUGGUAUUCGACGACGUCGCGACCGAUGCAACGUUCGAAAAUCACACGCGCCACGAAACAAAGCGGGACGUUUCCGCUCGACACGUUCGUACACGUGAACCGGCCGUGGAAGACGAUGUUCGCGGAUGCGUCCAUGUUAGCAUCCAAAUCAAACUCUCGCGUCGGCAAACGCUGAACGUACAACAACCGGUCGUCGUGCUCUGAGCCGAUGAAGAGCAUCCCCGGAUAUUUUGCCGGUAGAUGAUUCGUGCUCAAGCGGCUCUCAGAAGUAUUCUUAAACGACAGCUUGACGUCGACGCUGUAGGACUCCUUCGACAUGGCGUGAUGCGUCAUUUCAACCUUGAGCUCGGAUGGAAAAUCCUUUACGUCACCUUGAAGGGUGUUGCCAAACGGAAACGACUUGCCGAGCUUCAUUUCGAUGCGACGCGGAUCUGCGUCUUCAACGUCUUCGAGCGUCAUAAUUCUAGCUUCAAUGAGCUUUUCGAUAACUUUUUUCAUGCGCGAGUGCUUGAGCUGUCGAAUUUGCACUUUCGUGUCCGGCCACAUGUGCACGUCGAGACCUUUGGCGAGCGAAAAGGCGUUCGCUGCAGCGGUAAACGUCAACGUGGAUUGAUAGUACUCUGACGCCGCGCGCAUGAUGCGAGUUCCGAGCUGAAGAACUUUAUCACCUUCCAUUCGCAUCGACGGAUGCGAGAGCGUGAUGCUCGGUUCGACCACGUCAGUUAAAAUAUACUGCGCCAAAAGAUACAGCUUUUCGCCCGGCGUACGAAUUACCUUCGCUAAGGACAACUUUUGCGACUUUCCAGUAGUCUCUUGCACGGGAAAGCGAAUAAUCUUUUGAUCUGUGUUCAACUGCUUCAACAACUUCCUUUCAUCUCGGCGAAGCUUGAUGUCUUUGAACUCGUAACUCUCACACAACAUUCUUAAAAGAUCCGCGUACGACGGUGUCGCGACGUUUCGCAUGAUGUUCUUCAUCGUUUUGAAGCGCAAAUAACGAAGAGACAUGAUGUCUCCGGCUUUGAGCGGUUGAAGCGCGCUAUUUCCUACCACGGCGCACAUUCCUGACGCAAUAAGCUCAUCCAAAGUCGCCUUGAUUAACCGCUUCACGUGUUCUGUCACCGUAUCAUCGUUCUUAAUUCCGUACUUUCUUGGUUCCGCGCAAACGCGAAUAUAGUAAUACGUGCUUUGCACCCACUCCAGGACGUCGUCCACCGUGUUCACAGUUCGACAGCUUAUUUCAGCGUUUAAGUACUCAGGCAGCGAUGAACCGAGACUUGACUCGAGCGGAUACUUGCCAUGAACUAAUCCCUCGUAGCGCGAUCGCAAAGAGUUCUUCGUCAUCACCACCGCCACGCCCUCGGUGUCGAAUUGAGGUCGCCCCGCGCGGCCGAUCAUCUGAAGUAGGGUGUCCAUGGAUAUUUCCUUGUACGCGCCACCACCGUCGUAAAUAUCCGUACCAGCGACGACGCACAAGUACGCUGGAAGAUUAACGCCCACAGCUAAAGUGCUCGUACUGCACAAAACCAUAAUAGCGCGAGAGCAAAACAAUCCCUCGACCAACUCGCGAUCGCCUCGUUCCAGCCCGGCGUGAUGAAACGCUACGCCGGCGGUGAUACACUCAGCAAGAUGUUUGUUCUGCGCUUGCAUGGACGCUUCGAGCAAGAAUUGGGAGAGUUGUGGGUUUACGAACUGUCUACGAGAGUCCACCACGAGCUGCUUCGCCGUCUGCUGCGCGUCAUUGCGACUGCCCAAAAACACGAGCGUCUGCUUGCCGCGAUAGAAUUCCCGAAUCACCGCAAACACUUUUUGCUUGAGAUACUUGUUGAAUAAAAAAUCGCUCGUUGUGUCCGGAAAACUGCGCACGUACGUCUGUAACUUGACAGGUCGAAACUCUUCACCGAACACAAACGUGCCAUCGCGAUUGGCGCCGAGCCAAUUCGCGAGGUUUUCAAUGUUCGGAAUCGUCGCACUCACGGCGCCAAAGCGAACGUUUCGCAAGUGCGAUUGCAAUAGAGCCGACGACUUGCUCAGCAACUUUAAACGACUAACAAUGGCUUCCAAACACCCUCCACGAAUGUCACCGAUGAGAUGCACUUCAUCAAUCAACACCGCGGCGACGUCGCUGAAGAACGACAUCCCGCCGCGGUUCGCGUCCAGACGAGUCACGCGGUCGAAUUUUUCCGGCGUGGCCAAAAUCGCAUCGACAUUCUCAAUCUCCCCCCACACGUCCCCACCAAAAUCGUUAUCUCCCGUCAACUCCGCAAACGUGAUUCCGAUCCGGCCUAAUCGUUCUCGCCAUUCGCGCGCCUUUUCGCUCACCAAAGCCCGACUCGGCGCGAGAUAAAUCACCUUUCUCCGCCCUCGCGCCGCGCUCAAUCCCCCCUCCGUCGCGUUCGGUCCUCGCAACGCCGCCAACAUCGCCAACUCAAACACCGUCGUUUUCCCGCUCCCCGUCGGCGCGCCUGCGUUCGCGUUCGACGCGCGAUCACGCGUUCAUUCGUCAGUCCUUUCCAAAACGAGGCACUCGCCGCGCGUCUCGCGUUCGCGUCGCGUCACGCACUCAUCACGAAGCUCCGUCGCGUGUUCACCAAAAACUCGAGCAUCUCGCUCUGAAUGCUGUUGAAAUACCUACGACGCGCGCGUCGUCGCGACGCCUUCGCGUCAGUCCGUCGCGUCGCGCGCGACACCGUCGUUCCCGCGCGACCGUUGCGAACGCACUUGAAAUCAAACGCUCUGGCCGUGUCUAAAGGUUCUAUGUCCGUCGUCGCGCGCAGCGCGUCCCGACGCGGACGCGCGUACAUGACGCGUCGCGAUGAUUUCUUUCGUUCGCGCGCGCGCGCGCGUCGUCGCGCGACGCGCGUCGUCGUGUGCGGACCGCUCUUUCCCCUCGCGCGAAGUGCCGAGUCUCUCGGAACUGGAGACGAGUCCAUCUCGCUGAGUCGUGACUCGUCAAAAUCAAAUCGACGUGAGGAAUUCGCGCGUCGAGUCGACACACGGCGACGCGCGCGCUCGACUCGAUGCGCGCGCGACGCGAGACGACGACGGACGACGCGAGUCGCGCGUCGGACGCGCGCGACGACGCGUCGACGCCGGAGACGUCGGCGAAACGCGACGCGCGAUACGAAUAUGAGAUCGCGUUGGGGAGCAGUGGAUGGUUGUUCGUGUAUUACGUCGGCGUCGUCAAGGCGAUGCGCGAACGAGGGAUGGCGAGGUGCGCGUUGAAGAUGUUUGCGCGGUGCGCGCGCGGUUCGGAACGCGACGGCGCGCGAGAGGGUGGUUCGGUGGCGUAAGAUGGGGACGCCGACGCCGGACGACGCGUCUCGCGCGACGACGGAUGACUGACGAAACGGCGGCGAUUUUACGAUGCGCGCAGUAAAACGAAGGUGUACGGGACCUCUGGUGGGGCACUUUCGGGGGCGUUGUUGUUCAUGGACUGCGAUUUGGACGCGUUGGCGCAGUAUGUGUACAUUUGCGCGGCGCGAGCGCGGCGGUCGGUGUUGGGGGCGUUUCAACUGCGCGCGUACUGUCGAGGCGCGAUGACGGAGUUUUGUGAUCCCAAGGCGCAUGAGUUACUGUCCGGGAGGUUUGAAGUGUCGAUCACGAGAAUACUGCCGUCGUGGAAGAAUCUACGAAUCAGUUCGUUUCCGACGUAUGACUUUUUGAUUCAGGCGUUGUUGUGCUCGGCGUGCAUCGUGCCGCUGAGCGGGUUGCCGAUGUGGUUGCGAGGUUUCGGUUUGUGCCUGGACGGUGCUGUGACGGACAUGCAGGUUUGGAAAGGGUUUAAGAAAGAUGGCACCUUCAGCAAGUUGCAUUGCAAGGAGGCGAACCCGAACAUCGUCAUCGUCAAUCCAUUUUAUUCGUCGCGGGCGGACAUCAAGCCGAGCAAGUACAUCCCGGUUUGGUGGUGCUUUUACCCGCCAGAGCCGUACAAAUUGAAGCAGCUCUUCGAGAUGGGAUACGCAGACGCGCACGAUUGGUACGAGCGCACGCACGGCUUAGCGAAAACAUUGAAGUCGUCGCCCAAAACGCGAGCGGUGGGCAGCGACGACGGCGCUUCCGCGGAAGACGAAGAACCGCCGCGAAGCUGGGCGACAGACUGUCAAGAGUGGGCGAGCCAGAGCGCAGAGACGGCGGCUCGCCGCGCGGCCGCUGCGGCUGAAUCCGCGCGUCGUGCGGCGGCAAAACACGCCGACGAGUUUGGAUCUUUCAUGAAGCACGAAGCCGAGCUCGUGACGCGCAUGAGUUUCAAAGCAGCCGAGGUUGCGUCCGCGGCGGCGCGAAGCGUGAGCGAGAUGAAGGACGACAGAAAUUUCGCAGAGCGCGCCGACGCCGCGGCGCACGCCACCUUAGACGCGUUUGUCGUCGUCGGCAAGGGUACCAUCAUACCCUUCAGAUUGGUUCUCAAAAUUGCCGCCUGUUUGCUCGUUUACAUGGAGCUCGUAGUUCAAGCGUUCGUCGCCUUUGUCGGCGCCACGGUGGCGUGCAUCUUUCCGGGUAAAGUCGGUCGACAGGGCACUGAGUUGUGGCACAGGUGCCGGGCAUUUUCCCAACCGUUGCCGCGUGUGUUGCUCCAAGCCGUACCAGGAAUCAAAAUUGAGGCGAAAAUCAACGAACGUACCGCUAAACAGCUCGGAGAGCUGUCCGCGUUGUACCGUUUGCUGUGUUAUCUCGUGCACAUGGAGGAGCGCGAGUUCGAGAUUCUUCGAAAACGACUUUCGCAAGGCAAUCUAAGCGCGCUCGUAGACGACGUUAAAACGUAGAAACGUAGCCCAUCAUGUAUCAAAAAUUAGAACGUCUCGUGUUGUUUAUUAAAAACUGAUUUGUCAUCGCGUGUCGCGCUCUUCGAAAGAGUCCAGAGGCGUCGACGGAAAAAACGCCGCGGGAAGAAUCGUCUACCACCACGCCUUUUCGCCGUCGGUACCCGCCACGCGGAUACCGUCGCUUCCGGCGACGAUGACUUGGUACGCCAUGCCAACGAACAAACCGUGAUCGACAACGCCGACGGUGUUCUUCAACUGGUUCGCCGCAGCCACCGGGUCCGCGAGCGGCGUCUUGAAGUGCAAAUCCACGAUGUAGUUGCCGUUAUCCGUCACCGCGAUGUUAUCGCCGUCGUUCUUAUUGUUCGACGACGACCCCAUGCGCAAGAUCGGUUCGCACCCAGCCAACGCCGGAAGCUUACCGAUCGUUCGCAGCGUGUGCAUGUGGCAAAACGGCGUGAUUUCCACCGGCAAAGGGAAACCCGGUCCGAGACCCUUGCAAAGCUUGGACUCGUCCACGAUGACGACAAACUUCUUCGCCAUGACCUCAACCAUCUUUUCUCGCAGCAGCGCACCACCGCCGCCCUUCACGAGCGCCAACGCCGGAUCAACCUCAUCCGCACCAUCGAUCGCGACGUCCAAUUCGCUCUUUUCAUUCAGCGUGCACAACGGAAUGUUCAGCGACUCGGCUUGCUCGCGCGUGCGCUCGCUCGUCGGGAUGCAAAUCACAUCCUUGAGCUCCCCGCUCGCCAGCUUUUGUCCGACGCGUUCGACCGCGUAGUACGCCGUGGAUCCCGUACCGAGGCCGACGACCAUACCGCUCGUCACGUGGUCGUCCACGGACUUGUAUCCGACGAGUUUCUUCAGUUCGUCUUGGCUCAGCGCCAUGGUUUUCGUCGUCGAAGAUCGCGCCUUGGCGAAGCGUCGCGCGGGCGCGAGCUUGGAGCGGUCGAGCGCUUUGGAGACGACGGUCGUUCGCGCGGUCGCGGUGAGGCCUUGGGCGAGCAUCGACGGGCAGACGGCGCGCGCGUCACGGUAUGAGGCGCGGCCGCGUGUUAUCCAUCGGCACUCACGCGCGCCCGCGAGCGCGAUGCGCGCCUCCGACGACGCGGGCGUCGAUCGCGAUGUCGUCGAUCGCGCGGACGACGCGGGGCGCGACGACGCGUCGACGGCGCGCGCGAAAGGCGUGGAUGAGGAAACGGCGUUGCCGCUCUGGACGCGCUUUCUGUGCGAACUGCGCGGCGAAUUGAGCGCGGAAUCCAUCGCGGUGCGCUCGCACACGUGGCGGGAGAUCGACAUCGUGUCCUCGCUCGUGCGCAAGGUGGCGGGACGGACGACGGGGACGGUGAAGAUCGGAAGGGUGUUCACGGCGGCGAACGAGCGCGGCUGCGCGGCGCUCGUGGGCGAGGAGAUGGAAGAUUUCGGCGGUGAAGACGAGAUAUCGAGGGAUGGGGACGUGAUGGCGAAGAGAUUACGAGCGAGGACGUGCCGAGUGGCGGUGAGCACGCUGGAGCGGGACGUGAACCUGGGUGCGGUGGACGGGAGAAAUACGAAGGUGGUGCUCUUCGUGACGGUGCCGCAGUCGUUGCACCCGCGAGGGGCGCUGGAGGAUCUGAGCCGGUUGGAGGCGCUGAAGACGAUGAAAAUGGGAUUUAGAAAAUUGAUCGCUGAGACAGAUUUCGUGCGGGACUGCAGAGGGGCGAAGAUGGCUUCGGAAGUUGUGAGCGCGUACGAGGAGGCGUGUUCGGUGCUCACCGGACAACAUUUUCGCCGAGCCGAGGCGGAGGCGCAGAUGGCGUCCAAGCGAGGCGCCGAUUUCACAGGAAAAUUUGCUGGGGGUAUUGUGAGCGAUUUCAAGCGACGAUGGGCGGUGUAUAAGAGUGAUUGGGUCGAUGGAUUCAAGGCGCCGACGAAGUGCUUGAGCGCGACGCUCUUCAUGUACUUUGCUUGUCUCGGACCUGCAAUCGCGUUCGGGGGGUUGGCGUAUAAAGAAACGGACGGGCACGUCGGGGCGAUGGAAUAUUUGUGCAGCCAAGCGCUCAGUGGGAUAAUAUGGGCCGUGUUCUCGGGACAGCCCGAGAUCGUGCUACGCCCGGCGGGUCCGCAGACGGUGUUCCUCAUAGAACUGUUCAAACGAUGCAAGGCGUGGAGGAUCGACUUCCUCGUCACGUCUGCGUGGGUCGGGGUUUGGACUGGGAUUUUCAUGCUAUGUAUUGCCUCAUUCGACGCGUGCGCUUGGGUCGCGAACAAGUGCACAAAGUUUACGCAAGAUAUAUUCAGUCUCUUUGUGUGCGCGAUUUUCAUCUUUGAAGGAUUCAAAAACUUGUUCACGUACUUUUCAGACGACAAAUACUCAACCGCAGCCGCUUUGUUUAGCUUGAUGUUAGGUGUCAUGACGUUACAACUUGGUCUGUGGGCGGUGCAUCUUCGCAGUUCGCCGUAUAUGAACGCGACUAUUCGUGAACUCACCGCGGAUUUUGGUCUGGCCUCCGCCGUCAUCAUCGCGAGCGUCACGGCGAAGCUGUCGAAGAUUUCGGGGCUGGAGCACUUACAAAUUUCAAACAACUUUGAACCUUCUAUGCAGCGCGAUUGGUGGAUUGAUUUGGGUUCAGGCGAUAAGUUCAUCCCCUUGAUUGCAAUCUUCCCAGCUCUCAUGCUCACGGCGUUGUACUACGUCGACAUGAACGUGGCGACAUUGCUUUGCAACACGCCGCGCCUGAAGAUGCGUAAGGGCGCGGCUUAUCAUUACAACUUUGCCGUGCUCGCAAUAUUGGUCUUCAUCACCUCGAUGCUCGGACUGCCACCUCCCACGGGAUCGCUGCCGCACUCGCCGCAGUACGUGUUGGCGCUCAGCGACGUAGAAGAGUACACCGUGGACGGCGAGACGCGCACGAAAGUCAUCAAGGUGCAUGAACAGCGACUCAGUCCGCUGCUUGUCAACGUUCUCGUAGCUCUGAGCUUCGUCGUGAUACCCGCGCUAAAAUCAAUCCCCAUGAGUGUGCUCUUCGGAUUGUUCAUCUACACCGGCAUCAUGGGAUUGUACGACAACCAUUUCUGGGAGCGGAUCACCAUCGCGUUCAUGGAACCGCGCUUGCAUCCGCCGACGUCGUACGUCAGGCACGUACCGCUCAGUCGCGUGCACGCAUUUACGUGCGUACAAAUCGCGUGUGUCGGUGUGCUAUGGGGUAUUCGAAGCUCGCCGAUCGCCUUGACGUUUCCCAUCUUUAUUUUAGCGUUGAUGCCGCUUCGCAUUUUACUGUUCAAGAAGUUCAACAUGUUUUCGCCGGAAUGGCUCGAACUCUUGGACGCAAAGGGCGCAAAACCGUACGAGGUGGACGAAGACAACCAAAUCAUGGAAGAUGGUCGGGAGAACAAAUGGUUGUCCAACACCGGCACGGCGAGCGCUUCGAAUUUCAUGGAAUUCGCCGGCUUGCACGAAUCCGGUCCCGCAUUCGGCAACGCGGCGUCCUUACACGCGCACACGCGUUCCGACGCGGAUGCCAUGAUAACAGCGCGAAAUCGGAUACCACUUACACCGCUUACGAAAUAAUACCAGUGAGCUUCGGUGCGAGGGGGUUUGGACCGCAAUUGGUAGACGUUUUUAAUAUUUAGUGAAUUUUUGUGCGUUGCACUCAUGAAUCUUGAAUUUCGAUGGGUCGACUAACGAUUGACUAACGAUCGGGCGAAAGAGGUCUAAGUUCGACGGAUUUGCUUCGCACGUGGCGCGGCACGCUUCGCGAGCGCCGACCGAACGCGAAUCGAUACAACACUCCCAGCGUGCGAUGCACGCAGAGCGCCAAGAUGAGCGUGUACGUCGCCUGAAACAAAGUGUUUAUGUGUCGAUCCGUCGCGUAAGGCUUCAGAAGAUCGAUUUGUUUCAUCUUUGCCUUCAUCUUUCGACGCACAGGCGCUAGAUUGCUUUGUACGUUUCUGAUUUGCCGCGCGUACCCGCGCUUGGCGCGCUCGCCCGCGUUCUUCAGCGCCGGCGCCGCCUUACGCAUCCCGUCUUCAAUCAACGGUUUCGCAUCGCGAACGAGCGUCUUCGCGCGUUUCACACCCUCAUUCGCCGCAUCCUUCGCCAUUCGCACCACUUCCGCCGCACCCGCGCCUCGGCGCGCUUCCUCCAGAGCCUCCUCCAGUUUCGCCACCUCCGCCCGCGCCUUCUUCUUCUCCGCCGCCUCGAAAUUCGCCCGCGCUCGCUCCCGCAUCGCCUCGCCUCGAAACUUCGCCGCCUCCGAUUUCGCCGCGCCGACGUCCCGCCGCAUCGCGCUCAGGUGCCUCUGGCACUCCGCGACGCCCUCGUUCGCCUCCGCGCGUCCCGCCGCGAGCGCGCACGCGCACGCGCACGCGCACGCCGCGACCAACCUCACCGUCGUCCGACGCCGUCCGCGCGCGCGUCCCGACGCCCGCAUGUCCGCCGCUCACUUCGUCGCCGUCGACGCGCGCAGCGCGAACCCGUGCGCGAACACGAGCACCGCCAGCGCCGCGCCCACCGGCGCCCCGAUCUUAAUCCUCGAAUCGCUCGACCGCCUGACCGCGAUCCCGAGCGCCGGUAUCGCCGGCGCGAGCGCGAUCGGCCAGAGGUUUCCGUAUUCCACCGCGCGCGUUCGUCUCGCGUCGCGCGCGUCGCUCGCGUCGCGCAUGCGCGCGCCGCGAUCUGUCGCGCGGGCCGUCGGUCUUCUUCUUCGCGUUACAAUCGAUCGUCGCGCGCGCUACGAGCUACGACAGCGCGCUUCUCGCGCCCGCGAUCACCACCGCCCAUCCACCGAGCACGGCGAACACCACCUGCGUCGCGUCGCGCGCGUCAGUCGUGGAAUUCGCGUCGCAUCGGCGUCGAGGGCGUCUCGGAUCGAUCGAUCGAUCGCGCGCGUCGCGGCGUCGCGCGAUCGAUCGCGCGUCGCGGUCGCGCGCGACGCGUCGCGAGACGCACGUGCUCCUCCUUCCAAUUGCUCGGGUUCAUGGGGUCGUGCCACGGGUAGGGCACCUUGGGCGGCGCGUUCGGGUCGCUCGCGUACGACCGGCGCGCGAUCGUCGACGGCGCGCGCGCGGGCGCGUUCGCGAGCGCGCGAUGCGCGACGCGACGGAGGGCGGCGUGCAUGACGUCGAGCGACGGCGCGCGAGGGCGACGGUCGAGCGCGGGCGUCGACGAGCGUCGACGAGUGCGGGGGGGGGCGCGAGAGGGCGACGCGCGGGCGACGACGCGGCGCGGGAGAGGGUUCGAGGAAGGCGCGCGAGCGACGGGCGCGAACAUCGAUUGGGUGCGCGCGGUGUUUUUCUUCGCCGGGCUGGGGAUCGGGUUGCGCGCGUUCGGCGAGCGGGGGGUGCGGGGACGCGCGAAGACGCGCGCGCGCGACGAAGGCGGGCGACGCGGCGGCGAGCCUUUGUAAUAAUUUGUUGUAAUCAUCACAUCACUAGGCGGCUAGCUAUGGUCAAACGCUCGAACGUUCUUUACCGCUUUUUUUAUUGCGGCGGCGGCGGCGGGACGUUCAUCAUCCCGGGCGGCGGUGGCACGUUCAUCAUCCCGGGCGGCGGCGGCGCGUUCAUCGUCCCGGGCGGCGGCGCGACGCCGGGCGGCGGCAUCGCGAACCCACCGACGGGGGCGAAACCGCCCAUCAUGGGUGGUGGUGGUAUUCCACCCAUCAUUCCCGGCGGCGGCGGCGGCAUGCCGACCAUUCCGGGCGGAGGCGGCGGCAAACCCAUCAUGCCGCCCAUCGCCGCGGGCGUGCUCGAGGGGCCGGCGCUGAACAACGUGUGCGGGCGAACCAUCGUCGGUCGUUCGAUCGAUUGCGCGAGCAAACGCUCGGCUUGUGACCCAUGACGCUCGCCUUUGCUAUCCUUCUUGUACGCGUACUGAACGUUGAUUUGCUUGUUGCACAAGAACUGUCCGUUCAUCGCCUCGAUGGCGGCGUCCGAGGCCUCAAACGAAUCGUACGCCACGAAUCCGAAUCCCUUGCUCGCCCCGUUAUCCGGGUCGCGCAUGAUUUUAGGAGUGUUAAUCACCACCCCGAACGCGCUGAAGGUGUCGUACAACAGCUUUUCGUCGAUGUCUGGAUCGAGGUUACCGAUGAACAAGUUGGCGCCGACUUCGUCGCGUCUGUCGCCCACCGACUUGUUCACCUUGAUCGGUUUCCCGAACAGUUUCACCAUGUUCAAAAUUUUAAUACCCUACACGCGCACAUCGCCAUCGCACCGUCUCGUCAGUCUCCACGUCGAGCUUCGAUCGCGUCGCGUCUCCCAUCGCGCGGUGACUCAGCCGAAGAAAUUCAACCAUAAUAUCGUCUAACCUCACGAGCGUGAACUCAUCAGAAGCGCGGAUAUUUUUAUCAUCAUCGUCACCGAUCUCGCAUCCCAUCGCGUCGCGUCGCGUCGCGUCGCGUCGCUCGACGCACGUAUUCCGCGUCUUCCUCGUUUCUGAACUCCACGAACCCGUACCCCUGGUGCGUGCUCGUCACCCUAUCCUUCGGCACGUACACGUUCGUCACCGGUCCCGCCUGCAGGAACAGCUCCCACAGCACCUCCUCCGUGACUUGCGGGUCGAGAUUCCCGACGUACACCGUCGCCUCGGCGUUCCUAUCCGCGCCGUGCUGCCCGAGCAAGUUCACGCCCGCGCCCGCGGUGAUUCGCCCGCCUGCGAUCGGCGCCAUUCGUCCGUCAGUCGCCGCAUCGCGCGCGCAUCGCGCCGCGCGCGUCGCUCGUCGCGCGAUUCGCGUUCGUCGUCGUCGCGCGUCGCCGUCGAAUCGCGCGCGAACGCACCCGCGCUCCCACCGACGCUCGCCAUCGUCGUCGACGCCUCGCGCGGUGUCGCGCCUUCUCGUUCGCGCCGUCGCGCGUCGCGCCCUCGCGCGCGCGCGCGCGCGCGAGACGGUCGACGCGCUUCUUUCGCGCGUUCGCGCGCGCUCGGAGCGCUUUUUCGAGCGUCGCGCGGCGCUGUGCGGCGACCGGGACGCGAAUCGCGCCGCGUCCCGGUCGCGCCGCCGCCGCUCGGCGCCGCAUUUCGCGCCUCGCCGCGCGCGCGUCGACGCCCCGUCGCCGAGCCGCGCGCGUCGAGCGCGCGAAACGCCGCGUCGCGGUCGCCUCGCGCGCGCCUCGCGUCGGUUCGCGCGCUCGACGCGCCGCGCGCGCGCGCCAUGCGCCCGCUCGAGGAGUCCGAGCUCGAGCAGGUGCUCGCGAAGCUGUUCCAGUUCGUCGGGAAGAACAUCGAGCGGGUGCUGCGGCGCGCGGACGCGCCGCACUCGCUGCGAUUGCACAAGAAGCGGGUGUACUACGUGCGGGACGAGGUGAUGCGGCGGGCGACGAGCGUCGGACGGGAGCAGUUGGUGGCGCUGGGGACGUGCCUGGGGAAGUUUACGCACAGCGAUAAGUUUCGGUUGACGAUCGGGGCGCUGGACGUGCUGGCGGCGCACGCCAAGUAUAAGAUGUGGGUGAAACCGACGAGCGAGAUGGGGUUCAUGUACGGGAAUCACCUGCUGAAGAGCGGGUUGGGGAGGAUAUCGGAGAACACGCCGGCGAACGCGGGGGUGGUGAUUUACUCGAUGGCGGACGUGCCGGUGGGAUUCGGCGUCGCGGCGAAGAGCACGCAGGAUUGUCGUAAAUUAGACCCGAGCGCGAUCGUGGCGUAUCAUCUCGCGGACGUGGGGGAGUACUUGCGCGCGGAAGACACGUUCGUGAGCGGGAAGAAGGAUUGACGAGUUUGGUUCGUCGAGCGUCGUUCGAUGCGUGAAAAAUAUUCCUAGUAGUCUAAUCGUCGUUUCGUUCGUCGUCAUCGUUCGUUCGUCGUCUCGCGUUCGUCUCACUCGAUGCCAUCGGCCGCGUCCACGACCGGGAUGCGCACCAUGAAUCCGACGCUGUCGCCCUCGCGUUCCGUCUGCGCGCCGUACCGAAACACGAGCUCGAAGAAAUUCGCGUUGUGCGAAAUCCCCAACAACAGCGUGCUCGGAUGGCUCGCGCACCCCAAAAACCCGCGCUGAAGAUGUUUCACGCUCAGCGUCACGCUCGUCCCGAUCGCCGCGCUCUUAAUCUCCGCUAAUCUCGCCGCCACCCCCCCCGCCUCGGGCGCGCCCUCGUCGUACUCGUCCGCCUCCUCCGGCAGCACGCGCAGACCGCGAUACUCCAUCCCGAGCGCUCGCACGCUCCCCCCGCUCGCAUUCAUGUACAGCCCCCCCUGCCGCGUCGUCGUCACCUCCACCACAUCGCUCACCCGCGCGAACCGCUCCACGCACUCCCGCAGCGAUUCCAACGCGAACCGGUCGCACUCCAACCAAUACCCCACGUCCCGCACGCUCGCCUCCACCGCCGCCUCGCACGCCCUGACCUCCUCCCCCCUCAGCGGUCCCACCACCGGCACGUCCCGCUCCACCUCCACGCUCGCCUCCGUCGUCUUAAAGUUUACGCACGGCGCGCUCGCGCUCGCCGCGCUUCGUCGCCGUUUGAUCAGCCUGCACUCCGCCCGCGUCGCCUCCAGCGCGAUCAUCCCUCGCACCGUCCCCGCCAGCGCGCUCGGCUCGAGCUUCACCGCGAUCUUAUCGUCGCACGCGGACGAGAUCCUGCACCGCUCGAACACCUCGUCGACGCGAAAGUCGGCGUGCGCGGCGACGCCGUCGGCGACGCGCGAGCUUUGGACGACGCGAACCGUCGUCGGCGUCAGCAGCAGCGUCGCCUCGCCGCCGAGCCGGUCGAACACGGGGGCGAAGCGAUCGAGCCAGCGCGCGCCGACGUCGCCGAGCGUCGCGCGGAACUUCAUCGCGCGCGGCGUCGCGAUGUGUCGCGACGAAUUCAAAUUUAAAUCCGAGCUGUCGGCGACACAUCUCGACGCACCGCGAUGUCGCGGCGCGUCGACGCGAUGCGCGACGCGUGCGAGACGUGGCGGGAGACGUUCUCGACGACGCACGGGCGAAGCGCGACGCGCGCGGACGUCGAGCGCGACGCGAACGCGCGAUUAAUGUUUCGAGCGUAUAAAAAUGCGAGAGACGGACGAGGGGGGGGCGACGACGACGGCGCGAGGGACGCGGCGCGCGCGACGCCGAGGAAGAGGACGACGCGAACGUACGGCGAGAUGCGCGAGAUGCUGCGCGAGGGGGGGGAGAGCGAUGGGGAGAGCGAUGGGGAGGCGAUCGAGGCGACGCCGAUCAAGACGCGCGGCGACGGCGACGGCGACGGGACGACGCGAGCGAGCGACGCGCGAAGGUCGCCGAGAUUGCUCGAAAAGCGCGCGAAAGGCGCGAACUGGGACGGGCGGGACGCGCUGCGGGAGAUGGGGGGGAACGCGACGGCGGAGGGGGGGGGGGCGAGCGGGGCGAGGGCGAAACCGGCGUGCGCGCGGCCGCUGACGUGGACGGACGCGGAGCCGAGCGCGGGGGGGUUUAAAUCGAGGCUCGCGAGGAGAGCGGGCGCGGGUGGAGAGGGCGGGUUCGCGGCGGUGAAACGGGCGCGAGACGAGGCGAUCGAACGCGGCGGUGGGGUGGAAGAUUUGCUGUGCGAGGCGACGGUGGCGGCGAUGCGUAACGAGGCGGCGGCGCCGAAGAAGGCGACGAUGGAGUUGAGCGUGAGCGCGAUGUUGAAGCAGGACGGUUCGAAACGGCGUAAGAAACCUGCAGAACGAUUCGUGGGCGCGGCGACGAGCGCCGGCGUCGCUCGUCGCGCGGUGACGUCGACGAGCGGCGCCGCGAGCGAGGACGCGGCGCCGAAACCGUCAAAGACGGCGGCGGAGAUCCGCGCCGAGUUCGAGGCGGAGAAGGCCAGGGUGAAGGCGAUGUCUGGUAAAGGUAACUACGUCAAGACGAACCUCAAACGCACGUGGAAGUCCAAGGUGAAAAAUGGCGCGCGCAAAAAGGCGGCGCAGCACUAUCGAUUCGGCGGCGGACGACGUUCAAAGAACAAGGCGGAGGAUUACGAGGCGAAGGAUAGAGAUCCCAACGCACCGCCACCCGAGGCGCCUUCCGUGUGGGCUUCGGGAGAGUAUCCACUCGAGCCUCCCCCUGAAUGCGCGAACGCGACGGAAGACGAGAAAUUGACGCCGGCGAAGAAGGCUUUGCGAGCGCGAGAAGUCGCAGACGGCAUCGCGCGAGAGUACAUCACGGCGGCGGCGGCGGAGAGCGCCAGAGCCGAAGCCGAGCGGCGAGCAAAGUUAGAAGUAGGACCAGAGAUGCAAGCCGCGGUUUUGCGAGCGAAGAGCGAUCCUAGCGAAGCGAAUCUCACGGAAGUUCUCAAUCGAGGAUUCGGUCACGAACAGUUUCGUCCUGGACAACUCGAAAUCGUUCAACGCGUGUUGCGCGGAGAAAACACGUUGGCGCUUUUGCCUACGGGUGCGGGGAAGAGUCUUACGUACCAGCUUCCCGCGUUACUGUUGCCCGGGCUCACCAUCGUCAUCUCGCCUUUGCUCGCGCUCAUGGCGGAUCAAAUGGAUUCUUUACCUCCGUCGCUUCCCGGCGGAGCUUUGCGAAGCGACAUGGAUCGGAGGGACAUGUGGGAGACGCUCACUCGCUUGCGCGCGGGAGAACUUAAAGUGCUAUUCGUAUCUCCCGAAAGACUGCUGAAUGAACACUUCGUGAAUGAUUUGCAGAACGUACCCGGCGGCGUUUCACUGGCGUGUAUCGAUGAAGCGCAUUGCGUGAGCGAAUGGUCGCACAACUUUCGACCGGCAUAUCAUCGAUUGGGCCGCAUCUUGAACGAUCGAGUUCAAGCGCAGACCACGCUCGCGCUCACCGCGACGGCGACGAAGAAAACCGAAGUGUCAUUGAUCAAGCAGUUGGGUAUCCCCAGCGAAGGCGUCAUGCGAAAUGUUCGAGUGAGAGACAAUUUAAUUUUGUCCGUCAUGCGCGUGCCCGACGUGGCGCGCGAAAGGACUCUGUGUCACAUGUUGAAGCACGAUGAAUUGUUGCAAGAGGGGAGCAUCAUCGUUUACACCGCGACACAGCGGGACUCCGAGCGCGUGGCGAGUUAUCUAUACAACGAAGGCAUCAAGGCGAAAGCGUACCACGCAGGUCAAGAGCCUGCGCAGCGGAGACAGACGCAAGCUGAAUUCAUGAUGAGCAGAGUACGCGUCGUCGUCGCCACAAUCGCGUUCGGCAUGGGUUUAGACAAAUCCGACGUACGCGCGGUGAUAAAUUUCUCCCUGCCGCGAUCUCCCGAGGCAUACAUCCAACAAGCGGGGCGCGCGGGACGCGACGGAGCUCCCGCGGCGUGCGUCACUUUUCUCGAUCCAAAGGAUUAUUUACGCUCGAGAUCGCUGACAUUUAGCGACGGAGUGGACCGACCUUCCAUCACGAGACUUUUGCAAUCUGUCUUCGAAUCCGGCCCCGUGAUGAAAAAAGCUAAAGACGAAGCGGAGUGGACACCGUGCGUGGGUGCGUUAUCCGCGAGUGAGAUGGAAAUCAAGCUCGACAUGCGCAUAGAAGCUAUCGAGACUGUGCUUUCGUGUUUGGAUCUAUGGGGUGAAGGUCUCAUUGAUAUUCGUUCAAAAGACCCUUCGUCGGUGAACGAACUCGACGCCGCACACGCCAAAGGUCUUAUUCGGAUCUUGCCGGAUAUUCGUUCGACGUGCGAGGCACAAUUUUACGGGCGUUCGCCGGCAGAAAUCGGCAAAGACUGCCCUCUCGCUGCAGCCAUAGUGAAGCUCGUGCCAAAGCCGAAAGCGUCGAUGUACAAAUUCAAGAUUGUUGACGCGUGCAUGCACAUGCAAACCGGUUUCGAAGAUGUCGCAUCGCAGCUGAAGGCCAUGUCGAAGAAUGAUAACGUGACGUACACGCUCUCCGAUCGAGCAGUUGGUUUUGAAAUCGUCCGCGCGCCACCAAAGGAUAUCAUUCCUCUCGCGAAGGCACUCGCAGACCAUUGCUCGGAGAUUGAAGCGUGCUCGGUCGGGAAAUUAGACGCACUGUACAACGCCAUGGAUGAAGCCGCUAACGCGGAGGACGAAGAAGCCCAAGGCGAGCACCUGCGCCAGUGUUUAGCAGAGUACCUGAACGAAGAUUCCGACAUGCUCCCGUCGCCGCCCGAGUGCGUCAAGCAAGAGUCGCAGCUCUUGGCGCCCGACAUUAAAACUCUCCUCGCGCACAGAAGCGGUGGCAAGGUUGGCGGAGCGGGGAUGAUGACCGCGCGCGCCAUUGCGCGUGUUCUGCACAAGCUCCAUUCUCCGGCUUACCCGAGCAAGGAGUGGUCGCGACAUCACACCUGGGGCCGACACGCUGAGGUUGACUUUAAAGUCAUCCUCUCUCGCGCUGAGGAGGCAAUCGCGAAGGCGCGCGGGAUCGAUACAGGCGCUCUCAAGUAAUCACAAUCGCGUAGCGAAUGUUCUAGCAAUAUUAUAUUACACAUAGGUAGACCGUUUAUUUCAACAAGUCGCGAACUUGCCCAAUGGACGCGAUGCCGUCGCUGACGCCGCCCACGAGCGUCGACCCGACGUUCGUCACGCCCGAAGCCACACCGCCUACGAUCGUCGUACCAGCACCGAGAAUGGUCGACGUUACGUUCCCGACGCCAUCCGUCACUCCGCUAAAAAUUUUUCUGUGAAAAUCGUUGAGAAUUUCCGUGACCAACCCGAUGCCGACGUCUUUACCCAGUUGACCGGGUCGACCGAUGAAAUCGUUCAUUUCAAACUGCGUGAAUUGGAAAGGCGUCGAAGCGACGGAAUGAAUCGUCAACGACCAGUCGUAGAACGUGAGAUUGUUCACCUUCAACACCGUCGGCGCUCGCCGUAAAGAAAACGAGUUCAAAUGCUUUUCUUCCUCGUCAUCGAUAGGGGAGGCUCUCUUCAGCUUGUCUAAAAUUUCCGCCAAAGCGUAUAGGCGUUUAGUGACGUCCGAUCCCGCAUUUUGCAACGUUCCCAGCGCGGCACCAGGAAGUUUCAUCGCCUCUUUCAGUUGCGCGUCAAUGGCCUUUUGCGUCGCCUCGAGCGAAUUUGAGAUACCCGCGAAAAACCCAUCCGCCGCCGGCGCCGCUGCCUCUGCCUCAGAUUUUUCCUCACCCUUCACCUCCACCACUUUCUCGUCUUCGCGCGCGCGCAUGAUUUUAUAAUUUUUCGCCCGUCCACGCUCCUCGAGCACGAUCGACCCGCCGCUGACGAAUAUUUCGUCGACUUUCGUCGUGACAAAUCCGAACACAAAGUUCCCCACUUGCAUCCGUCCCAGCGCGCUAAAAAAAUCAAUCGCAAUUUUAAUCUCGUCAAACUUCGCCAAAUGCGGCGACGUGAACUCGGCAGCAUCCGAGUUUCCGAUCGUCAAACGUCGCAGUGUCACCUCGUUCAUCCGCACGCGGCACGCGUCCAACGCGCACGUCGCCGUCGUUCGCUUCCGAAGCUCCAUCAAACACCGGUUCCGCGCCCACUCAUCGAAACGGUUGACGAAACGAUCACGAUUCGCGUACGCGAACGCCGCGAACCCGCACGCGACGACGAUGACGAGCGCGAAAACUUUCACGACCAAGCGAAACAUCAAACCGACCAACGACGCGCCACCGAAAGUCAUCGAGGACACGAAUUUGAUCUUUUGCGACUUCGCGAGGUCGAAGUUUCCACUGAGCACGUCUUCGCUCAUCGCCACCGCGAGCGUCUUGAGGACGUCGGGCGCGAGGUCCUCCAUCCUGAGGCGGCGAGGGGCGAGGCGACGAGUGCGGACUCGGUCGAACCACGAGAACGACUGAAAGCACUGCAAUUACAAGCUAAGCGCGCGCGACGCGGAAACGAACGAAACGCACGAAAUGUGUUCGCGUCGUCGCGGUUCACCGUCGCUCAUCACGACGCUCGGAAUCGUCGCGGUGGAAAUCCCGACUUCGACUUCUACUACGGCUUCGACGCCGCUCGCGACGCUUCUCCUUCUUCCUUCGCCGCCGUCGACGCUCCGACGCCGAAUCUGACGAUUCCGAACUCGAAUCACUAUCAUCGCUCGAAUCACGUCCUCGUCGUUUCUUCUUUCUCGACGACUUUUUCCGUCCUCGCCUUCGUUCGUCGUCUUCGUCUUCGUCGCUCCGCGCGUCUCGUCUCCGCCUCGACCCUUUACCCUUCCUUCCCUCCCCGCUCGUCGACGUCAGCGGCGGUAACCCCAACGCCGCGCGCAUCGCCGCCUCCUCCGCCGCUUUCACGCGCGCGAACUCGCUCGCGGUCGAUUUUUCAUCCUCCGUCUCCUUGUCCCUGUUGUACCAGUACACGUCUUUGCCUUUGCACCACCUCCCCGUCGUCGCCUUGACGCUGUGCCCCAGGUAGAACUCGCGAUCGGCGCUUUCCUUGACGUCGUUCCACGAGAACUGAUCGCGGCCGCCGCGCGUGCCGCCGCGCGCCGGCCCUUCGGCCAUUCGCGUCGCGUUUUGAGGUUUGUCCCAAAACAGCGCGCGCUUUUCGGCUCUUCGGGACGCCACAUCGCGCGUCGUCGCCGGUCGAUGUCGCGCGCGCUCGCGGUCUCGAUCGCGCCGAGCGACAGCGCGCGUCGCGCGCGAUCGCGGACGCGAGAGAGAGGCGCGAUGACGCGCGCGGCGGCGGCGGUGGCGCCGUUUGAGUUUCAGACGGCGACGAGGAUGGUUUUCGGGAGGGACGCGCUCGAGCGCGUCCCGGCGCUCGUGCGCGAGCUCGCGACGUUAGAGGGCGUGGACGUGGAAAAGAAUCCGGUGUUCAUCGUCGCCGGGGAGUCGACGCGGUUUUCAGAGCGACUGGAGCGAUUGUUGAGGGAGGGCGGCGUCGGCGGGACGACGCGGACGUUUCACUGCCCUCGCGGCGAACCGACGGUGGCGAGCGCGCUCAGCGCGACGGAAGCGGCGGUGGAAAGCGAUUGUGGAAUCGUCAUCGCGAUCGGUGGUGGGACUCCGGUGGACACGGCGAAGUGCGUGGCGGCGAUGAUUACGAACCGGCGACCCGGCGAAAAUCCGGAUUUGUACGAGUAUCUCGAAGUCGUCGGACGCGCGCAGCCGCUGACGAAGCGCACGGCACCGUUCAUCGCGAUUCCCACCACAGCUGGACCGGGGGCAGAGGUGGCGAAAAACUCCGUUCUCGAGGCGGGUGAUCGUAAGGUGUCGAUGCGGCAUCCAUUCAUGCUGCCGUCGGUGGCGGUGAUAGAUCCGAUGUUGACGCUGAGUCUGCCGCGCGCGGUGACGGUGGACACUGGACUGGACGCGCUCACGCAGUGCAUCGAGCCGUACGUGUGUUGCGUGCCGAAUCCGAUGAUUGAUGCGAUUUCCAUGGCUGGCAUCGUCGCCGGCGCUGGCGCGCUUCGCCGCGUCGUGGACGACGGCUCAGACAUCGACGCGCGCGAGCAAAUGUGCCUGUGCUCGUACUACGGCGGCUUGUCCUUGGCGAACGCCAAGCUCGGCGCCGUACACGGGUUCAGCGGAACGCUAGGUGGUUUACUACACGCGCCGCACGGCGCGAUCUGCGCAUCGCUGCUGCCGCACUCGUGGACGAUUAACAUCGCCGCGUUGGAGGGGCGCGUCGCCGCCGAAGAUCCGGCGCUCGCCGCGCGCGCGCUCGAGCGAUACGCGCAAGUCGCGCGCGCGAUCACGGGGAACGCAGACGCCACGGUGCAAGACGGUAUCGCGUGGAUCGUCGAUCUGUGCGAAUACUGCGGCGUACCGGGAUUGGGAAGCCUCGGAUUGAAGGAAUCCGAUUUCGCCUCCGUCGUGGAGAAGUCAAAACAGAGUUCGUCCAUGAAGGGCAACUGCGUGGCGCUGAACGACGCCGAGCUCACGGCGAUGCUCAAACUCGCGAUGUGAUCUCGACGCGCGACGACCAUCUAUUGUUUUUGAUCACUACUGUACACGCGCUACAAUUUAGCUACCCACGCGUCGACGGCGGCGCUUCGACCGCGCCUACGCGCGCUACAAUUUAGCUACCCACGCGUCGACGGCGGCGCUUCGACCGCGCCGCCACGCGUCGUCGUCCUCCUUCGACUUGUCCACGCGCAAACUCUCCGCCGCGCGCGUCCAUCCAAACCGUCUCAAAGCCGCGUCCACGGCCAACCCCACGGCGUUACAAUCCUCGACCACGCUUUGAUUACUCCGAUACGCCGCGCGAUCGCCGAUGAUGUCGCAAUCCCCGACCAUCGCCGUCGCGUACCUCCGCCCGCGCGCGUCGCCCGCGCCGUCGCCGUUUCGCGCCUUCGCCUCCCUCAAAAUCAUCUUCACCGCGUCCCGCGCCUCCGCCGCCGGUUCGUCGCCCUCCGCCGUCUCCACCACGAACACCACCGUCGCCUCUUCCUCCGUCGCCGCGUCCAUCGCGCGUCUCGUCGCCGUCACCGCGCACGACGCCACCUCCGCGCGUCGUCCCGCGCCCUUCCUCGUCCACGCCGUCGCCACCAUCGCGCUCAUCUCCCGUCCCAGCGCGCCGCCGAGGCACACCACGCGCAUCGCGUCUUCGCCGUCGCCGUCGCGCGUCGUCGCGCGUCGCGCGCGUCGUCGCGCGCGUCGCGCGAUCGCGUCGAGCACCGCGUCGACGCACGCGCGCAGCGACCGCGCGACGUCCCAGAGCGCGUGCGCGCGCGUCGCGCGCGGCAUGCGCGCGCGGAUGGCGAUCGAUCCGCGUCAGCGCGCCGUCGACGCGCGCGUAUGCGCAAACAGUCACGGGUCGAUCGAUCCGCGUCAGCACGCGGCGUCGACGUGUGCGCAAACAGUCACGGGUCGAUCGACAUCUCGAAAUCGCCGCGGCGCUACAGUGGACCCGCUUUGAAGGGUGACGAAUCGCCAUGUAGCGCCGCGCGAUUGCACGCUAAAAUCGAUAUAGUGUUGGACCGACCGCGACCGACCGACGGGGCGCGACGGCGCGCGCGCGCGCGAGAACCCGCUUUGAAGGGUGACGAAUCGCCAUGUAGCGCCGCGCGAUUGAGCUAAAAUCGAUAUAGUGUUGGACCGAUCGCGACGGCGCGACGGCGCGCGCGCGCGCGCGAGACGCGCGCGCGCGAGCGAUCGCGACGCGAGACGCGGGAGACGAUGCGGGAGACGUCGCGACGCGAGACGCGGGAGACGACGCGGGCGACGACGCGGGAGACGACGCGACGCGAGACGCGCGACGCGAGGCGCGAACGUCGAGGAGGGCACGGGACGAUGCGGCGAUGGCGAUGCGUCGACGCCGUGGUCGUCGGCGCGGCGUUGAUGUUGAUGGCGACGGUGACGUCGGCGUUGUCGGCGCGCGGCGCGGGCGCGCACCGCGAUGCGGAGGGCGAAGGCGAUGUCGGCGGCGUCGUCGACGACGCGGCGGACGCGAGCCGCGGCGCGAACGAGACGGCGGGGAACGACGCGACGGCCGCGCUCGGCUGGGGAUGCGACGAGACGCUCCGAGGGUGGAGAGACGAAGGGUAUCGAGGGUGCCAGACGAGGACGAGGAACGGUCGCACGUGUCAGCAGUGGGAUUCGCAGUCGCCCCACGGGCACUCGAGACGAAACUGCGCCAAGGGCUCGUGCGGGCGCGGGAACAACUACUGCAGAAAUCCUGACGGCGAACCCACGAUCUGGUGCUACACGACGAACAGAAACGUACGCUGGGAGUAUUGCGAUCCGUUACCUCAACCGGUGCAUUGUGCGGGACGUUGGGGUUCGUACACGUCGUGCGACGCCUUGUGCGGGAGCGGACGCAAAUACAAGACAUACACGGUGACCAGAAACGCACAGCACGGCGGCCGCUCGUGCAGUUAUAGCAACGGGGCCAAACACUAUGCAGAUUGUACCACCUCGUGCGCCGCUCCGACGGUUUCCAUCGGUAAUCCGUUGACGCGCGUGGCGUCAAACACUGUUGAUUUCGGUCUCUCGGUGAAACACUCCGUGGCGUGCGGCGGCGAUUGUCUAACGUCAGCUUGGUCGAGGCGAUGGAUGGUUAAAAUCUUCGCGACGGUCAGAAAAGACGGCGUUUCGUGUUCAUCCUACGGCGCAUAUCUCCCUUGCAAGCGCUGGGACGAUUUUCGAGACGACACGACGCACCCAUCCCAGUUACUGGGAUUGACCACGGACACGGGCGCGCUCGAUCCGGGAACGUACGUGAUCGAGUACGUGGCCGUCUUGAAUCACUACAUCACGAAGCAAGAGCUGUCGCGCACGACAGGGACGCACACUUUCUCCAUCGAGCGCGGUUGCGAAUCGAUUUUACCUUCGGCGUCGUCGGACAGCGGCGUGGAAAACUCUGAACUCACCAAGUACGUCCUGUUGUCGGCGGAUGAUUUCGUCCGCGCGCCGUGCGACAAACUUCACGACGUGCGGGAAUCGAUCUUUCGCAAGUACGACACCAAUCCAACCGACGGCGUACUCGAUUACGACGAGCUCGACCGCGCGAUUCGCGAACAAGGUGGAGACGGGUACAUCUUGAAAGUGUGGAACCAGAUUCGCCCGCUUCGUCUGUCGCUCGGCCACUUCAUGGAGGCGAUCGUCGCGCCGCACACGUGCGCGUCGUCUGAAAGCGUGCAGUCCGUAUCUUUUAAGAGCGUCGUGUAUCCGUCGACCGAGGCUGGUCGAGAGACGACGCGUAAGGAUUGCGCGAAAAACGCCGGAGCGAUGGCUGUGGACUGGGGGUACGGACCUAAAAAUCCACCUAAGUCGGGAGACACUGUGUGCGUCUUUGUGGACGGCGUCUUGUUUCAAGUCAACGAGCCGAAAAACACAGCGCCGCCGCACAGUAAGGAUCAUCACUCCGAGGUGGCUGGACUGUGGACCCUGACAAAAAUUACCGAUAAGCGACCCGUCGUGGGUGCGAUCGGGGACGUGCAACCGUCUCUCGUCGCGCAGUUCACCUUUGACACCGAGCGCGAGAUUGGAGACACCGUCAGAAGCGAUCGCAUUUUCUCCGCGGCGCCGCUCGCCUCGGGAGAAAAGGCUAGACCGUACAUUUCGUAUUCAGGUCAGCAUAUAUCCGCGUGCUCGGGAGCGUCCGGUGGUCAGUGCAUCGUAGCACGCGGAGACGGUUUUAACUACGUCGGCGAUUCACUCGGCGGCGCCGUCGCGUUUUCAGCUUGGGUCAGGGUCGCGGAGAGCUCGGCGACGACGUUGAUUGAAUUCAGCGGUACGGAUGGACAACUGAGGAAUUCUUUCACGUUGGUCAUGGACUGUUCUUCAUCCGCGUGUACGCUGCGCGCGUCGUACGAUUCUGUCGGAACUGGUGGCAAUCUCGCAAAGAAAGAAAUUUCGGCGCCAAUGCGUCAGUGGGUGCUCGUGGGUUUCACGCUCAGCCAUAACGCCGGCUUGAAACUGUUCGCAUUGCCGGACGAUUCGACGUCGACGACGACUGCGAGUCACCCCUCGUGGCCGAAAGACACGCUUCCAAAACUUCCAAACAUCAAGCUCUUCUCAGCGUCGAGGGGCGGUGGUCAGCAGCACAUCGACGACGUUCGAUUGUACGCCGGCGUCAUGGACAUGGAAAUGUUUUUCAUCGCGCGCGACUGCGGACGAGGCACGUUGUGCGCAAUGCGCGCGCACGCGACUCCUUCGCAUCGCCGCGUCGUCUGCGUGUUCACGCAAGUCAAGGGCGCGAAGACGGGACAGCCUGCGUGCGCCGGCGCGUUGUACUACGACGGAACGGCGAUCGACGUACGCGCAUCGAUGGAUCUCGCUGGAGUCUUUUUUGAGUUUCGAGACACCGCCUGGGAAGAAAAGUCGUUUGAAAUCGAGCGUAGAGCGCCGGCGGUCAACGGUAACUUUGACUCCAAAUUUGAUACCGUCGUUCUGAUUGAAGGCGGGUUGAAGGGCUGCGCCGCAAAGUUCAGCUCCAUCACAUACAUAGAUAGGGAUGCCUCGUACACGCCCUACUCCGAAUGGCUGUAUCGCAUCACGACGAAGAAUCCGGAUUCAGACGACGCAAAUGAGAUAACGUACUUGUUGUCUCCCCAGCUCACUUUCCGCACGCCUUGGAUGUCGCAGAUCGAGGGACGCGUGCUGGCCGGCGCGUCCACUGAGGGAGUUCGAAACGUGCGAAUGUGUGCAGAAUUCGACACAUUCGUGACGCGCACGCCGGCGACUGAAGAUUUUCAAGCUGACGUUGAGUAUGAGAAUCUCGCCGCUUUCAAAAGUGUGACGCAUUCAAACAGAGCUCAAACGUCUACGUCAUACGUCGUCACGGAUGGCGAUGAUGCGGGCAAAAGCAGCAACGUCGACGCUAACGAGCACAUACGAAUCAAUCUCGGCAGUUGGGCAUCCGUGUCGACUGUGGAGGUGUGCCAUAAACGUCUGGAAUCAUCGGCGACGUCGAUGUUCAGCGCGCACGUCCAAGAUUACGACCCGGGUAAAAGUACUUACUUUGGACACGAUUGUUUGAUGGACUCGGUGAGGGACGUGUGCGACGAGACGCUCCGAGGCCAGGGAGGCAUAGGGUAUCGAGGGUGCCAGACGAAGACGAGGAGCGGCCGCACGUGUCAGCAGUGGGAUUCGCAGUCGCCCCACGGGCACUCGAACCGAAAUUGCGCCAAGGGCUCGUGCGGGAACAACUACUGCAGAAAUCCUGACGGCGCACCCACGAUCUGGUGCUACACGACGGACAGAUACAAACGCUGGGAGUAUUGCGAUCCGGAUCCGUUACCACACGCGUGUUUGACGUACACGUGUAAAGGCACCGACGUGAAUUCGUUUCACGGACAGUACGUCACCGUGAAAGCCCUGACGAAGGCUCAAGUGACGGAAAUCAAGGUCAACGGUCGCAAGACGAAAUGCAAGUACACCGCGGUCACCGACGAUGACGGCGAAUACGCGAUGGAUCUCAAAGACACCUCAGGCAAGCUUCCGGUGAAAGCGACGCUGCACAUCGGGGCUUACAAGGAGGAAAUUUUCCCUGAAACUACGGAAGUCUUGAUUGACUCAAAGAGGAACGCUCAAGGACAGUACCCGGUCCCGAAGAGUCAGGCGCACAACGUGUUGCUCAUUCUUCGAGAGAAUUUCGAAACCUCCGAGCUUGGAAUGCUUCGAAACGACAGGCGAACCGAAACCACGUCUUCGCCGCACGCGUCGGCGAAUGGAGUUUACGUGGACGAAUUUGCAGCUAUGCAAGAGCUCGGAUACGACGAGUUUGAAAACGCUGAUGAAUUUGAAAACGGUUUGCAAAACGACCAAACAGAGUACGAUGUCCAUCACGAUGGCGGAAAUGAGACGGCGGGGAACAACACGACGGCCGCGCUCGGCUGGGGAUGCGACGAGACGCUCCGAGGGUGGAGACACGAAGGGUAUCGAGGGUGCCAGACGAGGACGAGGAGCGGUCGCACGUGUCAGCAGUGGGAUUCGCAGUCGCCCCACAGGCACUCGAGACGAAACUGCGCCAAGGGCUCGUGCGGGAACAACUACUGCAGAAAUCCUGACGGCGAACCCACGAUCUGGUGCUACACGACGGACAGACGCAAACGCUGGGAGUAUUGCAAUCCGUUACCUCAACCAGUAAACUGCUACGGUUAUUGGGGACAGUGGUCGAAUGAGUGUACUCCAACUUGCACGAGCGGCCGACGUUACAGAUGGAGGUACUACAGAAUCUCGAGAUAUCCUAGGCAUGGCGGUCUGAGUUGCUCGUACAAAAACGGGCAAAAGGGCUGGGGGUACUGUCCGCCGAAACCGUGUCCAGUGAAUUGUGAUGGCAGGUUUGGAUCGUGGUCGACGUGUAGUGCGAAGUGUGGUUGGGGCAAGAGACAAAAGACGUUCACAAUACACACAGCAGCGGCACACGGCGGCCAAUCGUGUAGUCACAAGAACGGGUACACGGUAACCGAAAACUGUUAUUCCCAACACUGUCCGCCACCCCCGCCGCCACCCCCGCCACCAGGCGCCGCCGAGGUGGAGGAAUUCAUCGAGUGGGUGCUUUUGAAGGGCGUCGAAUCAAAUCGAAAAGGGCAUGUCGAAAGGACGCUAACAGGGUCAGGAUGGACGGCGGGUGCUGUGAGUAAACGCGCCAUUCGUGGAGCAUCCGAUACCGUUCGAGGCGUCUCCGCCGUGUGCAAAGAGUCGACGAGCCAACACAGGAUGAUUGCGAUGAAUUCACAGUCGACUGCGGAUUCCACCUCUUACCAAAGUCUUGAUUUCGCAAUUUACUGUUUUCCUUGGAACUCGGUGAGUUAUGUACGAGUCUAUGAGAGAGGCAAAGCUUUUGGGAAUGCUGCAAAGGCGUAUAGUGAGAGCGCCGUCGUUCAGAUCGCGCUCAACGAUGCCGGCAAGGUGGAGUAUUUCGUGGACGGUUUGAAGCUCAUGACGAGCGAUCAGACGGUGACGUAUCCACUUCACGUUGAUGUGAGCCUACACGAACAAGGCGCGUCGCUGGAGGAUGUGCGCUGGACUAGGAGAGUCUCGUCACCUCCGCCCUCACCUCCACCUUCGCCGCCUCCGUCCCCUCCGCCUUCGCCGCCUCCGCCCCCUCCGCCUUCCCCGCCUCCGCCGAAUCACGAACUCGAGGACGUUGAUUUCGACGGAUCGGGUAAUGUGAUGCGGAGCGAGUUGGUCGACUACAUUGAAGCUAUCACAAUAUCGUCCGAAGGUGGCCACGUCAUCAUUACGGACGAUGUAUGGGCGAAGCUCGAUCGGGAUGAAGACGGCGUGCUCGACGCGACUGAAUUUAAGGACGUUGUGAACCGUAUCGAGGCGCAACAGUUGGUCGUGGAGCCAAUCAUCGUGUUCCCACUUCAAGAUGCCCAGUACAUGUACGAUUUCAGCAUGUUUCAGACGUCUGACGACGCUGCAAAUAGCGGCCCGCGCACGGGCCACGUGCUAGAAGGCGGCGAAUCGUGUGAAAAUUUGAUGAUUGUGAGAAGUCGCUCCGCCACUCUGCCGUUCGGAAACGCUCAAUGGACAAAAUUUUACGAGACAUUGCGAGACGAGCAACACCGUUUCGAGUGCAGAAAUCUGAGUAAAAUCGAGGUUCCAGCAAUCGACGUCGGCGCGGUGGACAGCACGUACGUCAUACCCGUGCUCGCGCACAAGAACGGCACGAAUUACCUCAUACUCGACACCACGUCCGUCGCGGUGCAUACGUCGAACGAGACGAAAGCGUUGGAUAUGAUGCAUCGAAUGACUCGAGAUAACUUUCGUCUGCGCGUUCAAGCCCAAAAGCGGCUUCCGGAUAUCUUGCACAGCUUUAACAAGCCUCCCGUGCCGCGGGGUGCGUUGCCCGAGGCGCCGAGUGACGAGGAAAUCGUCGAACAGGUAUUUUCAGAUCAAGUGGCGUUGGAUAGGGUCACUUUAUCAGUCAAGCAUAAACGCGUCGAAGAGAAAGACUUUACGGAUGACACGACAGUUAUCGUAAACGGUGCCGUACUGUUCCCCAGGGAUCUCGUCGAACAAUCCAACGACUGCGGACUCUUCAAGGCGACUAUUGAAGUAUUCGAACCCGAAGGAGAAGUUGAGGAAUACCAUACGGAUGAGCGAGGCUUCUUCAAGUUUGCUCUCACUCGUGGGAAAACGUUCAACAUACGCCCAAAAUACAAGAAUCACACGAUAUGCUACGCUGGCAAAACCAUAGAGAACGCUGUCGAAGACGUGCACACAUGCAAAGGACGCAGCGUGGUCAAGACGCUUCCAAACGUUCAAGAUGGCAACUUUGUAUUUUUCACCGACGUCACGCGAGGUGUCAUCGACCUUGGACUAUACCACGGAGAGUGUGAACGGCGAUACAGCGGUGCUGUGUUUAAGAUCACGCCGAUCAAUGGAUGCCACGCUCCAAAGUUUGUGAAGAGCGAAGAAGUUGAAGGGUGGAAUGUCGCAAACACCGGGAUGAGUGAGGACGCUAAAUUUUGGCCGUUCGCCGCCAUGGAUUACUCGAUCAAGCUCGUGUCGGGGCCUGACGUGAAUGGCAUCCAACCGUUGAUUGAGAAUGAGCCGUGGGCGGACGGAUGUGGUACGGAGCCUGGCUCGAUGGUGGCUUUCUUUCGAUCACGAAACGCCCAUGAACGAAUGGCGGCCAUGCGCGACGACUACGAUUUGGUGACAAUUCGGUACAAGUAUCACGGCUACAUUUGCGUUGAGAUCGUGGACAUUCCCAAAAUACGAGAUCCAUUGGAAGUCUGUUACGAUCCAAACGAAGCGGACGGUAAUCUCACGAUUCAACAUUUCCUCGGAACUACGACUUCCGAAGAUUUGGGCAGCGUGAGCGGUCAGAUUCUUCUCCAAGCGAAAGUGUUCGAAUUGCAUCUUGAUCAAGUCGACGGCGAGCCUGUGCUUUCAAAAUGCUUUGAAGCGUUACCUAACAAGGAAGCUCAGACGGGCAGCACUCUGCUCAGUUUCAGACAGUCGGUCACCGAUGAAGACGACAAUGAGUGCCAUCCAAACCGAGGCGGCGGACCACUGUGUGAUUUUGACACGACGAUCGAGCCUGCGUCCGAACUCGUCAUUUGGAAUACAGACGGUGAUACCAGCGUGGAGGUCGUCGCUGGUACGCCUAAUCUCGCCGGUAAUCAUCGACGAACUGUGGAAUUCACCAUCAAGCGCUUCGAUACGUACAAACUCGUCACCGCGUACGCAAAGCGUGAGCUCAUACCUCUGGGCUCGAAACCUCGAGGAGAAGGGCUCUUCGGACCGGACAGUGACGAUGUCUACUGGGCGACUGUGCCUUUGGAGGGUUUGGUCUACACCGUCGUGCACGAUCCACCCGGUGGUCUCUCGUACGCGGAAUUAUCGACGGGCUCUCAAAUUGGACUUCAGUUUGACUUGGUUGGGAAACGUAUGGCGAGCGAGGGCAAAGGUGGGGCGUCGAAGAAACAACUUCCCGAAAUCGAUAAGUCCGUCGAUGUUGGUUUCAACGCCGGAUGGAUCGCCGAAGGUUCUUUGUCGACGGACCUGCAUUUGAUCUCGUCAAAAGGCGAGUUCAAAACUAAAACGGAUGGUCCAACGAUGCGUAUAACGAGCAAAGAAGACAAGGGGUGGAGUCUCGAAACCACGACAGAACGAACGAUUCGUUCGAGCAAGGACGCAGGUACUCCUGGGAGAGCAGGCGAUGUCAUUCUCGGCGGUGGUAUCGAGCUCGUGUACAAAAUAUCGGACAUCUUGGAUGUCGUAAACGAUGUUCGAACACUCAAAAAGCCUUGCUUGUACGUGUAUGGCGAAAUCACGUGGUUACCGCGAAAGCCGACGUCGUACAUCAUGAGCGUCGCGUCGAUCGAGACACAAGUCAUGCCUAAUCUGUACUACUUGCGAACGUUGGUGCAGGAAGGUGGCAUCGAAGCAGACGGGUCGGAAAUGUUUUAUGACUGCGCUUCCGGCGCGACGAGUAAAGAAAUGACCAAGUGCACGAAAGAGGAUCAAAUCGAAGCUUGGAUGCAAUAUCUCGACAACAAGAUUGACCUUUGGCGUCGAACACUUGAAUGGUCUUCUCCGAAAGUGUUCACCAUCGAUGAGGGUGGUGUGAAGACGAAGUUUUACGAAGCCAUCGAGAGAAUCACAAAACCGGCGUCUGAUGGUGGUUUUAUGCACACGAACUACAAAGUCCAGGUGGAACAAUUCAAGAAGGCGUACGCCAGACCGAUUAAGGAUAUUAUCGAAGAGGUCGGCAGUGCUUGGGAUUCAAGUUUCUUCAUGAUGCCUUUCAACGGUAUCGGCCCACCACCGUUUUUUGACGACCCGAGAGUAAUUGGUGGCGUGGAUUGGAUGCUUGAUUCGCGGUACUGGGAGUAUGGUAAAGGCGACACAGCUACGUACAGUAGAAUCCGUGGGAUUACACCUCGGACGGAUUCUGACGCGAGAAUCGCCGCUUUUGCCUCCUUGGAUGCCAUUGUCAAUACCGGAGGCAUCAUCGACACGGUGACGAAGAAUUUAGACGCGCCGAAGAAACUCGCCGCCCGUCGCAAGGCGGCUGCCGCCGCUGCUGCUAAGAUAAGUAAAUCGUAUGCUGCUAAGCAAAGGCUAUUAAAGGCGGCCUCUAAAUGGAAAAGUCUUGCAAAGAAACCACCGCCGGGAUUCAUCACGAGAUCCGCCCAAAAGCUCACGGCGGCCAAGAACAUGGCCACAAAGGCGGCCAAGACCACAGCCGGACAAGUUGCGGGCGCCAUCUUGCUCAGCGCGGCGGUAGCGGGCGCAGUCGCAGCUGGCCCGGCGAUGGAUCAGAUGGGCUACAAGUAUGCCGCCUAUCCACGCAAGUAUUACGAGGAUGGCAUACCGGCAUUUGAAGAAAACUUCUUCGACGAUGAUUCUGGAGUGCUCACAAAAGAAGACCAAGCCAAAGAUGAAGACGGGAUGCGAGGAGCCUAUACGUGGGGGAUGUUCAGUUCGGCGACGAACGAUUUGUUGCGACAAUUUAAAAGUUGUGCCGGGAGAGAGUGCAAUCGCGAUGAUAUCAGAGUCGAAACGCUGUCGAUGAGCAACACAUCUUUCGGCGAAGACUACUUACUUUGGAACACAAAUGACGCACCUGAUGUGUCGCGGAGGGUCGUGGCGUCCUUCACGGGUGGACAAGCUGCUACGGGUAUGAAUGUGACGACGAACGUGAACGCUACAGACGGUGUACCCGACAAGGGGACGUUAUUAUUGACGUUCGGCGGCGGUGGUCACACCGCAGAUUAUUCAUUUUCUUCGAAUGAAAAGAUUGCAGAUCUUCACACCAGCCUCGGUGUUCAACUGUCAGCAAAGCAGUCCAACAAAUACAAACUCAAACUCGGAGGCUUGCUCGGCUCGACCGUUCAACUUGCCAUGGCGCUCGGCGGGGUGGACGAUGAGGCUGUCUAUACCUUCAAAAAGUCAUUCGCUGAAGAUCGAACGUUCGCUUGGAACAGACACGCCUCUCUGAAAACGUUGUACAGUCUAGGUGACGCUCAACUCGGAGAUAAGUUUGUCGUGCAGGUUGGAGAAGACGUGCGCUUUGGUACGCCGGUGUUCAUCACAAAGGGUGGCAGAAGCUCGUGUCCCGGUGAACCUUUGACGAUGUUUCGACAGGCGGGCUUUUCCUUAUCCAAAGAAACUUCGUUUAACGAAAAUCUGAAUCCUGAUGAAAGUGCUUUGUUACACUUGAAAUUGACCAACGAGUCGCCGUACAAGGAAACGUUUCCGCUCGGAAUGCGCAUUGUUGACGGUCUCGUGAUGUCGGUCCACAAAGUGAUUCAGGACAUGUACGAAACGCUGGCCAAGGAAGACGUGACAGGGUUGGACGUUUUGAAAGCCGUCGAUAAUUCGAUCGCGUCGCUCGCUAUCGGGAAAGAUGCCGACGUCAUCAAAACAAUGAAAGAAAACGCGCGAGUGGCCGUGGAAGAACACUCGGCGACAGCAGUGGACGUCGCAGCGGUGGUUGUACAAGCCUCGCGGAGAGCUCCACCAACGUUUGAAGACUUGCAGAACAUCGAGUUCAGUAUGGGUGGAGAGGAAGUAUACUUUGGCGACGUAUUACCUCUAAAAUUUGUGGACGGUGAAGAUUUGAAAGUUCAGAAGAAGGUACUUGAGACGUCUUUCGCGCUUACCGUGACGGCUGCGAGCCCGUCGAGUCUUCGACUGGAGCACGUCGCCGUCGUCGUCAUGAGUUUAUGCGAACACGAAAUCAGCCUAAUGUCAAAGUUCGGUCGAGAACCGAUCAGCACGAACACUCUUCCGCUAGGAUUGAUGACGUGGAAUCAAAAGUGUCCGAAAGUCGCCUUCGACGGUUCCACAGUGGCGGAUUACUUGUUCUCGAGCGUCUCAUCUGCCACGCCCAAGCCACUCAAGUUGACCGUCUUCAAUCCGGACGGAGCUUUGUUAUGGCCUGGCUCUUCGGAUGACGUCCGAGCUAUCAACCCGAAUCUUCGAUUCGUUCGGUUGCAAUAUCGUCCCGCGAGCGGCGGCGAAUGGAUCACGGCAAAGUCUGAAGACAGCGAUCCAAAGUUCAGUUACAAGAAAAACCUGUUAUGCGACGGGUCACGUCUCGGUGGUUGCACUUUUGACUGGGACGUCAAUAACCAGUACGAAAAGCUUCUCAGUGGCUUUAAGGAUAACAUUUACGAGUUGAGAUUGAAGAACUUUUGCUUUGGCACGGAAAGUCGUCCGAUCAGCGCCUUGGCGGACAGCACCGUUCACGAGUACGUCUCUGAUCAAAUCCUCACGCUCAGAGUGGACACCAAGACGCCGAUUCCCGGCAGGUCGUAUCCUUCGUUCAAGCGAUUUUACACUGUCGAGUUCCCCGAAGCGAUCGACUGCUCGGAUCAAAAAGUUGCCAUCACGAAGAAACGCGCAUCCUGCGGAGACGACGGGCAAAGCGUCAAUCAAGCCGUGAGCGAAGACGCAAUCAAGUCAGGCUUUGACUUCCAAUGCUCCAAUAACGAGGUUGGCUUCAAGUGGAUGGUUGGAUUUCCUAACACUGAAGUGGGUCAGUACGCCGUCGAAGUGAGCGGUGUUCGUGACGAAGCCGGGAACGCCGCCGCGCCGUUUACCUUCGUCAUGGACGCGAACUGCGCGUCUUCUCAAAAGCUGUCCCUCGCGCGCUUCGGUCUAGGCGCGAAGAAACGGUCGACUGAGGAAACGGGCGAUGUGCCAACGAGUGCAUUUGACGUUCCAAUCACAUCGAUGCCCGGCACGUGGGUUCUCGCGGGGUGCUGCCUCGUCGCCGUCUUCGCCGUCGUCGUCGGCGUUUUCCGUCGCGCGCCGCGCGUCGAGGACAAGGAAAAAUCUCCACUCUCCUUUGUCGCCCGUCGACACCCGCCGUACGGCGCGGUGGUGUAAACGACGGCACAACACCACCGAAGCGGUCGUUCCCGAGAUCAUCACGAACGACGAAUUUUGAUUAUAAUUU
rnacentral:lncRNA from 1 species